rnacentral:lncRNA from 1 species
GGAUCUGACUAUAAGCCAUGGCCGGCGCCGGCUCCGCACCGGGAGGAACGCCGGUGUAAGUGUAACGCCUAGCUGCUCGCCCUCUUCCUCGCAUCAGAUGGCUGCCUAGCUCACACUACUCCGUGCGCAGUCGCCGACGUUUGCCCUCGCUGCUUUUGCUGGUCUCCCGCUGGCCGCCGCCUACUGGCUGCCAUAAAAUCCUACGCAUUCGUAAGUCUCCGAGGCAGAGUAUUGUAGGAACAUAGUUGGUGGUAUUAUCGUUGUUCACCCCGGUUUCUGUUGCUGCUCGCGCAGGUGCUACAGAGACAUCACACCGGGAUCAUCCGAUGACAGAUUAUGGAGGGUUAAUUACCUGUAGCAGUACUAGAAACCCAGAACUACCAUGAGAUGAGAAACAUCGGGAUGACUCCUAGCAAAAGAAAGAAGAUCCUAUACGAAAAUCCGUCUCUGCACCCGCGCUAACGAAAAAAUUCAAAACAAAUACUAGAAACAUUCCAAAAAAAAAAUUGUGUCGUAGACAAUUUGUUGCGUGAGACCCGUUCCAAAUUUCAAGUCAUUUGGAUAUAUGAGCAGCUCUCAGCAAAAAAAAA